AUGUGAGGGCGAUCUGGCUGCGACAUCUGUCACCCCGUUGAUUGCCAGGGUAGAUUUGGCUAAUCUGACUGGCUAGGCGGUGUCCCCUUCCUUCCUCAUCGCUCCAUGCUCAUCUCUCCCAAAGCUGCACGCUUCUUCAUCAAAUGGGGUGACCUUCCCCAACAGGGAAGAGGACUUCUCUUCGAUCAAGGGUAUAUGAGUAGCUUCGCUCCUCUGCUAGAACCUCCAAACAAGCUUUCAAGGUCCCAUAGUGUUAAAAUACAAAUGAAAAUAACUCAAAAAAUUUAAAAUAUAUCUUUAUUCCGUGUAA
rnacentral:snRNA from 1 species